rnacentral:lncRNA from 1 species
AUCAUAUUUGUUUAGUCAUUCUUUAUCUUCUUCUUAACUAAUGCCUAAUUGAUUAACAAAAAGAUUCUGGAUUCGCAUUACGCAAUUAGGGUUAGGGUUGGGUUAGGGUUAGAGUUGAACUCGUUUGUUUCGAUGGGAAUUUCAGCCAGAUUAUUCCUGAUCCACGAACCUCAUUUUUUUCCCCAAUUUUGUGGCUUCGAGAAUUCUUUGUAACUGAGAUACAUUGCUUUGGUAGAAUGAUUUUGACUAAAAUAUAUUCUAGGAAUACUUUAGUUAUAGACUAAAGAGACCGUACACAUCAAAUUUUUUUCUUCCCAAAAAUAAAAUAUCUAUUUUCUUGGCUGGUUUUUUGGGAUGAAUUUUUUAGAUGCGGUUAACCCCUGCUCAAAAUUUCAUCUAUGCUUUGUUAAGUAAUGGGUGCACCGAAGCAGAAGUGGGCUCCAGAGGAAGAAGCAACUCUGAAGGCUGAGUCUUUAAACACGGGCUUUGGAAAUGGCGGACGAUUUUCAAAGACCCACAAUUCAAUCGGGUUUUGUGUCUGCGAUCCAACAUUGAUCUGACGGUUAAAAGUCCUUCAUUAUACAGAUGUUAUGGGCAGCUGUUGAGCACGAUGGUUUAAUUGUGUAAUGCAUUGUGGGUUAGGAUAAGUGGAGGAACAUGACUAUUUUGGGGAAUGAAUGGGGCUCCGGGGAGAAGACUAGUUUAGCAAUUAAGAUGAUGGAUCAAGCUCCUAAGCUUGGUGAGAGCUCUAUUGGUAGAUCAAAGCAACGAGGAAAUGGUUGACAGUGGGCCUCUUCUGGUAUCCAACGGUUCUUCGCUAGCUGAUGGUCUGAAAAGAUCUAUCAUGGGGUUUCACAUAUUAUGUACAAGUUCCCAUCUCUCUUAUGCUUCUCUUUGAUUUGUCCAAGGUAUCUUUACAUUUAUAACCCGAGUAAGAGAUUCAUGAUUUAGACAUAAUUCAUUUUGCUCAUGUUCAGAUGUUCCGUGUAGGUUACUAAAAUUAGUUUGUGCGCCAAGGAAUUCAAUGGCAGAUGAUUCUCUGUUUCACGAAGGAUUCUGGAUCGGGGGCUGCUUACAUGAUUACUCACUAUCUAGAGAAGACCAUGUAACUUUCCUAGUUCCUUACAAAUUCUACACAACUUUGUCAUUUACAACUGUCCAAUGUGAUAUGAUUGUACAAGUUGUUUCACAUAUCUCCUUAUGACGUGAAAUUUUAGAUCUACCCUUCUAUUUGUUAAAAUCUGGCCAAAGGCAAUGAAUUUUAUUUUAGUGGUAUCUUGUGUUCAUAUUUCAGAACCUCCUAUGAUUGGUGACAGAUGACGAUUAUCAUUUUUUUUUCCUUGUUUAGGUUGGAUAUCCUAUAGUAGUCUAUAAACAAUUUGGUGUUAUUAACAAGACAACUAUAGCUGCAUGUAUAAAGGUAUUUCCUUUUCUAUUCAUCUAUACUAUCAUAUCAGAUAUUCACAAUUUUUCUAGUCUAAAAGCUGUCUAUCAUGUCAUGUUGUGCACUAUGAUUGAUACUAUGAUCACCCAUCUGCAAUACGUCGGCUAUGUACUCCAUUAUGAGAAAGGCACCUCUAAUGUUUAUGACCCUUACAUUGCUGAAAUUCUUCAUGAAUUAUAAUUUCCUCCAAACACAAUUUUCCAAUAUAGAAAUGAACAUGUUAACCAGAUUAAAUGAGAGAAAAAUCUCAUUGCACAAGAUUUGGUUUUGUUGGUAGAUGUGAUUCUGCAUAAUGAAUUAGCAAAAAAAUAUUCAUGCAAAUAACCUCGAGUUUGUUGGGAAUAAAACUCAGCUUGUUUUUGUUGUACCAAAAGAAACGAGAGUAAUAAUCAAG